UAUCUCUGUAGAGUCUGCAUAUCAAUAAGCGGAGGAAAAGAAACUAACAAGGAUUCCCUUAGUAACGGCGAGUGAAGCGGGAAGAGCUCAAAUUUGAAAUCUUCAAGGUUCUACCUUGACGAAUUGUAGUUUAAAGAAGUGUUUUCUGUUAGAUGAGUAGCAAAAGUUCCUUGGAAUGGGACAUCAUAGAGGGUGAGAAUCCCGUAUUUGACGUUAUUCAUUCUAGCUGUGUGAUACACUUUCAAAGAGUCGGAUUGUUUGGGAAUGCAGUCCAAAAUGGGUGGUAAAUUUCAUCUAAAGCUAAAUAUUGGCGAGAGACCGAUAGCGAACAAGUACCGUGAGGGAAAGAUGAAAAGAACUUUGAAAAGAGAGUUAAACAGUACGUGAAAUUGUCAAAAGGGAAGCGUUUGACACCAGUGUUGUUUUUCCGAAAAUCAAUUACGAAUGGCUUGAUUUUGUGUUGUAUUGACCUUAUCAGCUUUCUUCACUUUUUUCGAGUCUUUCUUAAUGCACUUUUUGGUUAACAAGUCAACAUCAAUUUCUUUUGUUGUAAAAGAGUAUUCGGAAGGUGGCUUUCUUUUCGGAGAAAGUGUUUAUAGCCCUAUACUUCUACAAUCGGAGAGAUUGAGGUCUGCAGCGUAGAUCCUUCGGGGUUAGAUACACUUGUGCUAAGUUGUAGCUUUUCAUAGACAACUUGUUGACUAUGUUUAGUCAUGCGGCUUACUCGCUUGUGCUAUUUUACCUACGCUUAGGAUGUUGACUGAUAUGUAGUCGUA
rnacentral:rRNA from 1 species